UAAUUCAGACUGUUAAAAAAUAAAUAUAAGUAUGGAUGAAGAAAUAUACUAUUAUACAGAAGAGCAAGAGUUUAAAUGCGAAGAGUCAGAAGUUAAUAAUUAUUUAUCAUCAGGUACAAAUAGUUCUUAUUGAUAUAAAAUUUAUACCUCUCUUUGCAUUUUAUUAAAUAUUGAAUUGUACCGAUGACGAGUGCUGCGACGAAUCUUUGUAUCUGAUAUUUUCGAAAUUAGUUAACAAAUCUAUAUUAGUAAUAAAUUCGUAUUUUGUUCUGUAACCAAAGUGCUUUUGCAAGAACCGAAUCCAGUAACCUACAACAGGCACUAAACACCAAAAGACUCAUGCUGUGUGGACACAGAAAGCCACGAUGGCAAUGCUUAGCUUAUACGAAGAAAAUAUACACAUGAUUAUGAAUACCGGCUAGAAAUCACAGGUGUGGAAGAAAAUUUCAGAAGGUUUAAAAGAUUUAUGUAUACAGAUAACAGCAGAUCAGAUUAAAUGGAAAUUUAAUCGCUUAAACACUAAAUAUAAGGAGUGUAUCGACAACAAUAAUAAGAGUUGAAGAGCUCAUAUGACAUUUGAGUAUUAUGAGCAGUUCGAACAAAUUUUUCAUAAAGUCAAAAACGUUUCUACUCCACGUACAUUUUCUUCUUCGAUAUUUUCUACAGAUGAAAAAAAAAGAAAGUAUGACACAACCGGAUCAAAAAACAUUAGUAAGAGUAAACAAUUUAAAUUAGAUACUACAUCCAGCGAAAAGAAUCCACCACCAGUUGAUGAGUCUCCAAAACUCAAAACAAGUCCGGUUGCAGGUGUUAAAAAAAUUGCAAGAAACCAACAACGCAUUCAAACUAUUGAACUUUUACGAAGUAUUCAAGAAAACCAAAAGGCUAGAAACGAAAAAAUGACUAAAUAUUUGAAAAUGAAAAAGAAAGAAAUCGAUGUUCGUGCAAUAGAAACGCAAAUUAAAAGAGAUGUUGCUAGUGCAAAAUUAAAGUUUAAUGAAAAGAAGCAUAGAGACUGGUUAUAUAUAGAAAAUUUGAAAUGUAAGUUUCUAAAAAAAACUGUUAAAAAAUCGUACUGACUGCGAAGAGUCUGAUUAAACUACAAAAAGUUAAUGUUUAAGAGUUCGUUGUACCUACAAAGUUUUAAUUAGGAGACGUGUACAUUUUAUCAGCUAUUCCACCCAGAGACCAUAAUAGUGACCUUUGCUAUGUAUGGUUAUAAUAUUAUAAUAAAUAAAUCUUACGAUUAUCAUACUCUUGAAA